rnacentral:rRNA from 1 species
GUGAUGCCUGCCCAGUGACAUUGUUCAACGGCCGGCGGUAUCCUGACCGUGCGAAGGUAGCGUAAUCACUUGUCUUUUAAAUAAAGACUGGAAUGAAUGGCUAAACGAGGCUUUAUCUGUCUCUUACGGGCAAUCAGUGAAAUUGAUCUCCUCGUGCAAAAGCGAGAAUAAUAACAUAAGACGAGAAGACCCUGUGGAACUUCAAAUAUUAGCUAAAGACCAUAAACCUACAAACCAAUAGGACCACCAACCAUGACCCUUACUUAGCCUUAUUUUCGGUUGGGGUGACCUCGGAGGAAAACAAAACCCCCGAAAACAUAUACCAAGAAUGACAAGCCAAAGUGCCUACGGCUAAACGAUCCAAUACAUUUGAUUAAUGAACCAAGCUACCCCAGGGAUAACAGCGCAAUCCCCUCUUAGAGUCCCUAUCAACGACGGGGGUUUACGACCUCGAUGUUGGAUCAGGACAUCCUAAUGGUGCAGCCGCUAUUAAGG